ensembl:lncRNA MUC20-OT1 MUC20 overlapping transcript
AACCUUUGCUGUCUUGGGACGGAUCACCGCUGCAAGAGGGGAAGUUGCUACUGUGAUGAAUUCUGCCAUGUGGCACCAGACUGCCACCCAGACCACAGUGUCCUCUGCAACCCUGGUAACUCACAUACAGGCCCGAUUCCACCUACAGCAAAGCUGGAUGCGAUGGCUGGCAGAGGCAAACCCUUUGCCUGCACUUCAGGCCAAAGCCGGGAUGUGGCCUAGAUGGUUCCUAAGGUCCCUGACAAUCCUGAGAUCUUGCAUCUUGUCUAUUUCAGGUCAAAGGUGCCUACAUGCUCCUUCUAGCUUUGUUUCCCUGAUGUUCCUUGCCACCUGCUACUCCUCUCUGAGCUACUUUUCCAGGUUCCACAGGGAGAGGUUCAGCUGUCCGUGGUAGACAUGAGGGUAGAGAAUGAGGUGGUUGGGUUCCACUUACCUUUCUAUCAUCUUGCAGUAUGGAUGUCUCUUGACUGGUACCGUGUAGACUUUUGAGGGCACACAGGAGUCUGCAGAGAGAUACUGGGGACAUUGAGCAGCAGCAGUGGGGUUGGGAGGCAGAAAUGAGGACAGGAACAUUUACCUUGUGUUUCUCUCAGCUUCUCAGAUGACCAAGAUGGUGCUGCAGAUGGUGCUGAGGAUGGAGAACCCACCAAGCCCCGCUAGGAGCCACCUAGACUGGAUGCAGAGCAUG